rnacentral:lncRNA from 1 species
UAUUUAUUUGUUUUUAAGAAAAGCAAGACAAUAUUUUUGGUAUGUCGAUUGAAGAGUUGAGAUGCAAAAACCUCUAAAUGCCAUCUGAAAAAUUCUUCUGAGCAUUUUUGGCAAGCUCCUGUGUGUAUGUUCAGUAAAUCCACUUUUUUUGGCAAAAAAUAGGUUCUUUGCAUUGCCUUUAAAGUGAAAUAACUAAACAAAAAUAUUGGAGGCUGAAGAAAAAUGCUUAUAUAGGAGAAAAUUUCAGAUGGGACUUAAAGGUUUUUGCAUCUGAACUCUUCAAUUGUCUUUUACAAACAGUUGUGAAAUGUGUCCUUUUAAUGACAGCGCUAUUACACAAUUUCCCGUGACUUGUUUCCCAUGCAGUGCAACUGUCUAAAUAGUAAAUCACAUUUGACAGUAAUUUUGUAUGCAUUGCUCUGUAAAUUUCCUUUCAGAUUUCAUGCAAAUAAAACUGAAUUGUGUCAAAAAAA